rfam:Microbotryum lychnidis-dioicae p1A1 Lamole unplaced genomic scaffold supercont1.3, whole genome shotgun sequence.
GGUUGAGUAGCUCAGCGGUCAGAGCAACUCUGAUUAAUAGAGUGGACCUGAGUUCAAUUCUCACUUCAGCCA